UUUUGGUGGAGGCACCAAAGUUUCAGUUGGACGUGACACCCGGCCCACCCUCACGGUCCUGCCCCCCUCCAGCGUGGAGCUGCAGCAGGGGAAAGCCACACUCAUGUGUCUGGCCAACAAGGGCUUCCCCUCAGACUGGAAGCUGAGUUGGAAGGUGGAUGGUAAGAGUUGGAGUUCAGGGGUGAGCUCCAGCCCUGGGGUUUUACAGAAGGAUGGUCUCUACAGCUGGAGCAGCACCCUCACCCUCCAGGGGGAGCAGUGGAGUAAGAUGUCAGUGACCUGUGAGGCCACACAGGGCUCCCAGUCUGCAGUGACCCAGACACUGAGGAAAGACCAGUGUUCUGAGUAGUGAGAACACACACACACACACACACACACACACACACACACACACACACAUACACACCUCCUCUCCCUCCUGUUUCUGUUAUGAGUAUAUGAGACUGGCUUUGUGCUGGGUUUGACCCUGUGUGUGAGUCUUUCCAGCAGCUUGAGUUGUCAUCAGAGCAUCUUCCAUGUGAUAUUGUUGUGUUUCAUAUCAAAUCCAUUCAUGUCCACUGUAUGUGUGUGCUUUACUGCUUAACUCUUGUUCUAUUUUAUUCAUCAUGAAAAUAAAGAGCUUUUCAAUCACAA